rnacentral:rRNA from 1 species
UACGUAGGACACGAGCGUUAUCCGGAUUUACUGGGCGUAAAGCGUCUGCAGGCGGGUGUGUAAGUUGGACGUGAAAGCCCCGGGCUUAACUCGGGGAGGCCGUACAAUACUGCAUGCCUGGAGGGUGGUAGAGGGGAGCGGAAUUCCCGGUGUAGCGGUAAAAUGCGCAGAUAUCGGGAGGAACACCCGUGGCGAAGGCGGCUCCCUGGACCGACCCUGACGCUCAGAGACGAAAGCUAGGGGAGCAAACAGG